rnacentral:rRNA from 1 species
AUUGAACGCUGGCGGCAGGCCUAACACAUGCAAGUCGAACGGUAACAGGAAGAAGCUUGCUUAUUUGCUGACGAGUGGCGGACGGGUGAGUAAUGUCUGGGAAACUGCCUGAUGGAGGGGGAUAACUACUGGAAACGGUAGCUAAUACCGCAUAACGUCGCAAGACCAAAGAGGGGGACCUUCGGGCCUCUUGCCAUCGGAUGUGCCCAGGUGGGGUUAGCUAGUAGGUGCGGUAACGGCUCACCUAGGCGACUAUCCCUAGCUGGUCUGAGUGCAUGACCAGAAAAUCAGGAACUGAGAAACGAUCCAGACACCUACAGGAGGCAGCAGUGGGGAAUAUAGCACAAUGGGGGCAAGACUGAUGCAGCCAUGCCGCGUGUAUGAAGAAGGCCUUCGUGUUGUAAAGUACUUUCAGCGGGGAGGAAGGGAGUAAAGUUAAUCCCUUUGCUCAUUGACGUUACCCGCAGAAGAAGCACCGGCUAACUCCGU